rnacentral:rRNA from 1 species
UACGAAGGGGGCUAGCGUUGCUCGGAAUCACUGGGCGUAAAGGGCGCGUAGGCGGCCAUUCAAGUCAGAGGUGAAAGCCCAAGGCUCAACCUUGGAACUGCCUUUGAUACUGUUUGGCUUGAGACCGGUAGGGGUAAGUGGAACUGCGUGUGUAGAGGUGAAAUUCGUAGAUAUUCGCAAGAACACCAGUGGCGAAGGCGGCUUACUGGACCGGUUCUGACGCUGAGGCGCGAAAGCGUGGGGAGCAAACAGG